GACGGAGGAUGCAAGCGUUAUCCGGAAUGAUUGGGCGUAAAGCGUCCGCAGGUGGCAGUUCAAGUCUGCUGUCAAAGACCGGGGCUUAACUUCGGAAAGGCAGUGGAAACUGAACAGCUAGAGUAUGGUAGGGGCAGAGGGAAUUCCUGGUGUAGCGGUGAAAUGCGUAGAGAUCAGGAAGAACAUCGGUGGCGAAGGCGCUCUGCUGGACCAUAACUGACACUCAGGGGACGAAAGCUAGGGGAGCGAAUGGG
rnacentral:rRNA from 1 species